rnacentral:rRNA from 1 species
GACGAACCGUGCGAACGUUGUUCGGAAUCACUGGGCUUAAAGGGCGCGUAGGCGGGUCAGCAAGUCCGGGGUGAAAUCUUUCGACUCAACCGGAAAAGUGCCUCGGAUACUGCUGGUCUUGAGGGAGGUAGGGGUUUGUGGAACUUCUGGUGGAGCGGUGAAAUGCGUUGAUAUCAGAAGGAACGCCGGUGGCGAAAGCGACGAACUGGACCUCUUCUGACGCUGAGGCGCGAAAGCUAGGGGAGCAAACGGG